rnacentral:rRNA from 1 species
CUAAGGCAGGGCAGAUGACUGGGGUGAAGUCGUAACAAGGUAGCCGUAGGAGAACCUGCGGCUGGAUCACCUCCUUUCUAAGGAAGCG